rnacentral:lncRNA from 1 species
CUCCAGCUGCGUGCCGCCAUGUUCCCUGUCAUGGGGAUAAAGGGACUAAAUCCCUCUGAAACGGCUCCUUCUUAGAGCAGGAGGAAGAAUGGACCCUUGCAAGGACACAGCUACCGCCCAGGGGUGCCUGGCGAGACAGAUUCUGCAAAUGUUUGUCAGCUCAGAGCCAGGUCUAGAAUGUGGCCUCUCUGGAGCUCGCUUGUUGGCUCCCCCAGAUGCAUCAUGGAAGGAGUUCCGCAUGCUCUGAGACAGUUUCUUCCCAGGAGGGGAUCAGCUUACUGGAGCAGCGCUGUUUUCUGUGGACCCUUGUCUAGUUGUGGCGGUUGCUGGGAAAGAUGAAGUCCCCAGACUGGAGCUCAGGCUGCAAAGAGGCUGGCAUGGGUCGCCAGACUUCCUUUCAGAACAGAUCAGGUCAUGUGACUAGUUGGGUCCUUGUAAUGGCAGAAGCGAGAUGCCCCUUCUAGGCCAAGGCAAGAUCUGCUGCCCUCUGACUUCUACCUGUUGCUGAGAUGACUUCUGUCGCCAAGGCACCUGGAUACCGAGCCACUCCUUGAC